rnacentral:rRNA from 1 species
UACCGGCGCCACAAGUGGAGAUCAUGUUUACUGGGUCUAAAGUGUUCGUAGCACGUUGUAUAAGUUUCUUGUGAAAGUUCUUUAGCUUAACUAAGAAUUUGCAAGAAAUACUGUACGACUUGAGACCGGAAGAGGUAAGAAGUAUUAAUUGGGAAGCGGUAAAAUGUUAUAAUCCUUUUAAGACUAACUAAGGCGAAGGCAUCUUACUUGGACGGAUCUGACUGUGAGGAACGAGAGCUGGGGGAGCGAA